rnacentral:rRNA from 1 species
AUUGAACGCUGGCGGCAGGCCUAACACAUGCAAGUCGAACGAGUGGCGGACGGGUGAGUAAUGUCUGGGAAACUGCCUGAUGGAGGGGGAUAACUACUGGAAACGGUAGCUAAUACCGCAUACCAUCAGAUGUGUCCAGAUGGGAUUAGCUAGUUGGUGGGGUAACAGCGCACCAAGGCGACGAUCCCUAGCUGGUCUGAGAGGAUGACCAGCCACAAUGGGACUUAGACACGGUCCUGACUCCUACGGGAGGAAGCAGUGGGUAAUAUUGCAGCAUGGGCGAAAGCCGUAUGCAGCCAUGCCGCAAGUAUGAAGAAGAACUUCGGGUUGUAAUGUACUUACAGCAGGGAGGCGUUACCCGCAGAAGAAGCACCGGCUAACUCCGUGCCAGCAGCCGCGGUAAUUA